rnacentral:rRNA from 1 species
AUUGAACGCUGGCGGCAGGCCUAACACAUGCAAGUCGAGCGGAGCGGCGGACGGGUGAGUAAUGCCUAGGAAUCUGCAUGGUAGUGGGGGAUAACGUCCGGAACCGGGCGCUAAUACCGCAUACUAUCAGAUGAGCCUAGGUCGGAUUAGCUAGUUGGGGGGGUAAAGGCCUACCAGGGCGACGAUCCGUAACUGGUCUGAGAGGAUGAUCAGCCACACUGGAACGUAACAACGGUCCAGACUCCGACGGUAGGCAGCAGUGGGGAAUAUUGGACAAUGGGCGAAAGCCUGAUCCAGCCAUGCCGCGUGUGUGAAGAAGGUCUUCGGAUUGUAAAGCACUUUAAGUUGGGAGGCGUUACCAACAGAAUAAGCACCGGCUAACUUCGUGCCAGCAGCCGCGGUAAUAC